CGCUGGCGGCGUGCUUAACACAUGCAAGUCGAGGGGCAUCAGGAAGAAAGCUUGCUUUCUUUGCUGGCGACCGGCGCACGGGUGAGUAACACGUAUCCAACCUGCCCUUUACUCGGGGAUAGCCUUUCGAAAGAAAGAUUAAUACCCGAUGGCAUAAUGAUUCCGCAUGGUUUCAUUAUUAAAGGAUUCCGGUAAAGGAUGGGGAUGCGUUCCAUUAGGUUGUUGGUGAGGUAACGGCUCACCAAGCCUUCGAUGGAUAGGGGUUCUGAGAGGAAGGUCCCCCACAUUGGAACUGAGACACGGUCCAAACUCCUACGGGAGGCAGCAGUGAGGAAUAUUGGUCAAUGGGCGCUAGCCUGAACCAGCCAAGUAGCGUGAAGGAUGAAGGCUCUAUGGGUCGUAAACUUCUUUUAUAUAAGAAUAAAGUGCAGUAUGUAUACUGUUUUGUAUGUAUUAUAUGAAUAAGGAUCGGCUAACUCCGUGCCAGCAGCCGCGGUAAUACGGAGGAUCCGAGCGUUAUCCGGAUUUAUUGGGUUUAAAGGGAGCGUAGGUGGACUGGUAAGUCAGUUGUGAAAGUUUGCGGCUCAACCGUAAAAUUGCAGUUGAUACUGUCAGUCUUGAGUACAGUAGAGGUGGGCGGAAUUCGUGGUGUAGCGGUGAAAUGCUUAGAUAUCACGAAGAACUCCGAUUGCGAAGGCAGCUCACUGGACUGCAACUGACACUGAUGCUCGAAAGUGUGGGUAUCAAACAGGAUUAGAUACCCUGGUAGUCCACACAGUAAACGAUGAAUACUCGCUGUUUGCGAUAUACAGUAAGCGGCCAAGCGAAAGCAUUAAGUAUUCCACCUGGGGAGUACGCCGGCAACGGUGAAACUCAAAGGAAUUGACGGGGGCCCGCACAAGCGGAGGAACAUGUGGUUUAAUUCGAUGAUACGCGAGGAACCUUACCCGGGCUUAAAUUGCAGUGGAAUGAUGUGGAAACAUGUCAGUGAGCAAUCACCGCUGUGAAGGUGCUGCAUGGUUGUCGUCAGCUCGUGCCGUGAGGUGUCGGCUUAAGUGCCAUAACGAGCGCAACCCUUAUCUUUAGUUACUAACAGGUUAUGCUGAGGACUCUAGAGAGACUGCCGUCGUAAGAUGUGAGGAAGGUGGGGAUGACGUCAAAUCAGCACGGCCCUUACGUCCGGGGCUACACACGUGUUACAAUGGGGGGUACAGAAGGCAGCUAGCGGGUGACCGUAUGCUAAUCCCAAAAGCCUCUCUCAGUUCGGAUCGAAGUCUGCAACCCGACUUCGUGAAGCUGGAUUCGCUAGUAAUCGCGCAUCAGCCACGGCGCGGUGAAUACGUUCCCGGGCCUUGUACACACCGCCCGUCAAGCCAUGGGAGCCGGGGGUACCUGAAGUACGUAACCGCAAGGAUCGUCCUAGGGUAAAACUGGUGACUGGGGCUAAGUC
rnacentral:rRNA from 1 species